rnacentral:rRNA from 1 species
ACGAUAUGCUUUGGGGAGCUGUAAGUAAGCUUUGAUCCAGAGAUUUCCGAAUGGGGAAACCCAGCAUGAGUUAUGUCAUGUUAUCGAUAUGUGAAUACAUAGCAUAUCAGAAGGCACACCCGGAGAACUGAAACAUCUUAGUACCCGGAGGAAGAGAAAGAAAAUUCGAUUCCCUUAGUAGCGGCGAGCGAAACGGGAAGAGCCCAAACCAACAAGCUUGCUUGUUGGGGUUGUAGGACACUCUAUACGGAGUUACAAAGGACGACAUUAGACGAAUCAUCUGGAAAGAUGAAUCAAAGAAGGUAAUAAUCCUGUAGUCGAAAAUGUUGUCUCUCUUGAGUGGAUCCUGAGUACGACGGAGCACGUGAAAUUCCGUCGGAAUCUGGGAGGACCAUCUCCUAAGGCUAAAUACUCUCUAGUGACCGAUAGUGAACCAGUACCGUGAGGGAAAGGUGAAAAGCACCCCGGAAGGGGAGUGAAAUAGAACCUGAAACCGUGUGCUUACAAGUAGUCAGAGCCCGUUAAUGGGUGAUGGCGUGCCUUUUGUAGAAUGAACCGGCGAGUUACGAUUUGAUGCAAGGUUAAGCAGUAAAUGUGGAGCCGUAGCGAAAGCGAGUCUGAAUAGGGCGUUUAGUAUUUGGUCGUAGACCCGAAACCAGGUGAUCUACCCUUGGUCAGGUUGAAGUUCAGGUAACACUGAAUGGAGGACCGAACCGACUUACGUUGAAAAGUGAGCGGAUGAACUGAGGGUAGCGGAGAAAUUCCAAUCGAACCUGGAGAUAGCUGGUUCUCUCCGAAAUAGCUUUAGGGCUAGCCUCAAGUGAUGAUUAUUGGAGGUAGAGCACUGUUUGGACGAGGGGCCCCUCUCGGGUUACCGAAUUCAGACAAACUCCGAAUGCCAAUUAAUUUAACUUGGGAGUCAGAACAUGGGUGAUAAGGUCCGUGUUCGAAAGGGAAACAGCCCAGACCACCAGCUAAGGUCCCAAAAUAUAUGUUAAGUGGAAAAGGAUGUGGCGUUGCCCAGACAACUAGGAUGUUGGCUUAGAAGCAGCCAUCAUUUAAAGAGUGCGUAAUAGCUCACUAGUCGAGUGACACUGCGCCGAAAAUGUACCGGGGCUAAACAUAUUACCGAAGCUGUGGAUUGUCCUUUGGACAAUGGUAGGAGAGCGUUCUAAGGGCGUUGAAGCAUGAUCGUAAGGACAUGUGGAGCGCUUAGAAGUGAGAAUGCCGGUGUGAGUAG